rnacentral:lncRNA from 1 species
UAUUCUCAAAACGACUUAUAGUAGAAUGGUGAUGACCAACAAUACGUGCAAUUGUUACAGCGACAUACCUGCUUCUCUCAUGCUGAUUAUCUGCCAUCUUGCUACAGUUAUGAGUUGUGGAUGACUAUUGACAAGGUAUCAAUCACAUAAAUUUAUAAACUUGGUUAUUUAAAGUGUUGAAAACAAUGAGGAUACAAACAUCUGUUUUAUUGUUUACGAGUACAGUGCUGCAUGUGCAGAUAAGAACUUAUCGAGUCGAUAUUUAUUGAUUAAACUCGGGUGAUAUUUAAAUAAUGUUUAACUAGUUCUAUUUCAACAAAUUAUAUCACAAAACAAUAUAGACUAUUUUUUAAUUUGAAUUUCAAUUUGGUGUUGCAAUACUGUUUUCCUGUGUAUAUAUAACAUGCUUUGUCAUUUGACAACGUAUUGUAUGUUUGUGUAGAGAGGAUGAAAACUGCUGUCCUUUUCUAUCUGUGGCGUUGUUAAUAAUUUGAUUUCGGCUCAUUUUUCCCUGUAACAAUCAAUAUGACUCUUGCUUGCCUUAGUGCAAAAAUCAGGUAUUUUUUCGUCUUUUUUAAUUUUAACUAAAAAAUUCGAGACAGAAUUGACCAUUUUAUAAAUGUUAACAUUCAAAUCAAAU